UACGGGGGGAGCAAGCGUUGUUCGGAUUUACUGGGCGUAAAGGGCGCGUAGGCGGCGUGACAAGUCACUUGUGAAAUCUCCGGGCUUAACUCGGAACGGUCAAGUGAUACUGUCGGACUAGAGUACAGAAGGGGCAACUGGAAUUCUCGGUGUAGCGGUGAAAUGCGUAGAGAUCGGGAAGAACAUCAGUGGCGAAGGCGGCCUGCUGGGCUGUUGCUGACGCUGAGGCGCGACAGCGUGGGGGAGCAAACAGG
rnacentral:rRNA from 1 species